rnacentral:rRNA from 1 species
UACGGAGGAUGCGAGCGUUAUCCGGAUUUAUUGGGUUUAAAGGGUGCGCAGGCGGAAGAUCAAGUCAGCGGUAAAAUUGAGAGGCUCAACCUCUUCGAGCCGUUGAAACUGGUUUUCUUGAGUGAGCGAGAAGUAUGCGGAAUGCGUGGUGUAGCGGUGAAAUGCAUAGAUAUCACGCAGAACUCCGAUUGCGAAGGCAGCAUACCGGCGCUCAACUGACGCUCAUGCACGAAAGUGUGGGUAUCGAACAGG